rnacentral:rRNA from 1 species
GUGCCAGCAGCCGCGGUAAUACGGAGGGGGUUAGCGUUGUUCGGAAUUACUGGGCGUAAAGCGCACGUAGGCGGACUAGUCAGUCAGAGGUGAAAUCCCAGGGCUCAACCCUGGAACUGCCUUUGAUACUGCUAGUCUUGAGUUCGAGAGAGGUAAGUGGAAUUCCGAGUGUAGAGGUGAAAUUCGUAGAUAUUCGGAGGAACACCAGUGGCGAAGGCGGCUUACUGGCUCGAUACUGACGCUGAGGUGCGAAAGUGUGGGGAGCAAACAGGAUUAGAUACCCUGGUAGUCCACACCGUAAACGAUGAAUGCCAGACGUCGGGUAGCAUGCUAUUCGGUGUCACACCUAACGGAUUAAGCAUUCCGCCUGGGGAGUACGGUCGCAAGAUUAAACUCAAAGGAAUUGACGG